GCCGCUCAUGCAGGAGCCGAUGGAGCGCCGCGUGGAGUCCAGUCGGAGGGUUUUUACCAGGUGAUGCUGUCCAAACCCGACUGAUCUACUUACCGGAUCAAUGGAUCCCGAUUUAUUCCUACGCAGCUGGAAGAGGCUGUUUCAUUCAUUAAUAACUGUGUGUGUGAUCCUCAUUUAUCAAGCGCAUCUUUCCAGGGGUAGUGAGGGAGUGAACGUUUCAAACUGGGAUGUUUUAAAUAACAGCGGGAGCAGCAGGAUAAAGCAUCAGAAAUGGGACACCGCUUCCCAUGGAGGGCAGGUAGGCUGCUGCAUUGAUCACUGAUGCUGAUGGAGUUUCUUGGAGCAGCAAACACACAGAUCACAGAGAAAUCAGGAUUUCU